ACCAACAGGGAUUGCCCUAGUAACGGCGAGUGAAGCGGCAACAGCUCAAAUUUGAAAUCUGGCUUCGGCCCGAGUUGUAAUUUGCAGAGGAUGCUUCUGGCGCGGUGCCUUCCGAGUUCCCUGGAACGGGACGCCAAAGAGGGUGAGAGCCCCGUAUGGUUGGACACCAAGCCUGUGUGAAGCUCCUUCGACGAGUCGAGUAGUUUGGGAAUGCUGCUCUAAAUGGGAGGUAAAUCUCUUCUAAAGCUAAAUACCGGCCAGAGACCGAUAGCGCACAAGUAGAGUGAUCGAAAGAUGAAAAGCACCUUGAAAAGGGGGUUAAAUAGUACGUGAAAUUGUUGAAAGGGAAGCACUUAUGACCAGACUUGGGCCGGGCGGCUCAUCAGGGGUUCUCCCCUGUGCACUCCGCCCGGCACAGGCCAGCAUCGGUUCUCGUGGGGGGAUAAGACCGUCGGGAACGUAGCACCCUCCGGGGUGUGUUAUAGCCCGGCGGACGAUACCCCCGUGGGGACCGAGGUCCGCGCUCCGCAAGGAUGCUG
rnacentral:rRNA from 1 species